GAAGAAUUUGUGCUAUUGUUUUAGAUCCAAGGAUAUCCAAAUUGUGGGCUCUUUAUGUUCUUUUGUUUUCUUCGGACAAGUCAAAGCUUCCUCUUUAAUGGGUUCCCUUGUCCUUCCAAACAAGGGGAAUCCUUUCUCCCACCUAAAGUGUGGCUUCUUUCCCUCUCCAGCCUCUAGGAUGGGUGUAGAUAUGUUUUGUGAGUUUUGAAAUGGCAGAUCCAGAGCUUCUCAGAGAGGAAUUUGAUGUGGUGAUUUAUUUCUAUUGUUUUAUGGUUUUGAUGUGGCUAGAUGUAUGCAUUAACUUUGGGAGCAGAUCCAAAGGAAGGCAUCCUGAGAAUUAAGAGUCAGCAUUUUAGAUGUUGUUGUCAAUGCUUCAUGGCCAAAGGAGAGUGAGAUACCAUGCCCUCUGUUUCUCUUUUCUCCCAGAUAGAUGGUUUAAAGAGCAUAGUAUGCCUUAGGAGGCGAUAGUUUGUUUGUUUGAAUUAUUGUGUUUCCUCUUGGUUCUGCUUGAUUGUUUCAGCUAUGCAUGACUCUGAGGAAAUUUCUCUUCUUCUUAGUCUCUAGCUGCAUCCCUAGUUCAUGGCCUUUUCAAUGAACAAUGUUGUGAUUUCUCCCAUCUAUGUUUGAUAAUAGGGC
rnacentral:misc_RNA from 1 species